AGAGUUUGAUCCUGGCUCAGAACGAACGCUGGCGGCGUGCCUAACACAUGCAAGUCGUACGAGAAAAUCCGCUUCGGCGGGUGAGUAAAGUGGCGCACGGGUGAGUAACGCGUGGAUAAUCUGCCUUUAAGCGGGGAAUAACUUACCGAAAGGUGGGCUAAUACCCCAUAAAGCUAUGGAGCUCCGGUUUUCAUAGCCAAAGAGAGCCUCUGCAUGCAAGCCCUCACUUAGAGAUGAGUCCGCGUACCAUUAGCUAGUUGGUGGGGUAAAGGCCCACCAAGGCGACAAUCAGUAGCCGGCCUGAGAGGGCGUACGGCCACACUGGAACUGAGACACGGUCCAGACUCCUACGGGAGGCAGCAGUGGGGAAUUUUCCACAAUGGGCGAAAGCCUGAUGGAGCAACGCCGCGUGAGUGAUGAAGGCCUUCGGGUUGUAAAACUCUGUCGUGCAAGAACAAAGUCACCGGGUGAACAAUCCGGUGAUCUGAUUGUAUUGCAGGAGGAAGACACGGCUAACUCUGUGCCAGCAGCCGCGGUAAUACAGAGGCGUCAAGCGUUGUCCGGAAUUACUGGGCGUAAAGGGCGUGUAGGCGGGCUUGUAAGUCGGAUGUGAAAUCACUGGGCUUAACCCAGUAACUGCAUCCGAAACUGCUUGUCUUGAGUGCAGAAGAGGAAAGUGGAAUUCCUGGUGUAGAGGUGAAAUUCGUAGAUAUCAGGAGGAACACCGGUGGCGAAGGCGACUUCCUGGUCCUAUACUGACGCUGAGACGCGAGAGCGUGGGGAGCAAACAGGAUUAGAUACCCUGGUAGUCCACGCCGUAAACGAUGU
rnacentral:rRNA from 1 species